AGCGAACGCUGGCGGCAGGCCUAACACAUGCAAGUCGAACGGAACCUUCGGGCUUAGUGGCGGUCGGCUGAGUAACACGUGGGAACGUGCACUUUGGUUCGCAACAACUCAGGUUAACUUGAGCUAAUACCACAUGGGCCCUUACGGGGUAAGAUCUAUUGCCAUUGGAUCGGCCUUCGUCUGAUUAGCCAGUUGGUGAGGUAACGGCCCAUCAUGGCGACGAUCAGUAGCUGGUCUGUGACGAUGAUUAGCCACACUGGGACUGAGACACGGCCCAGACUCCGACGGGAGGCAGCAGUGGGGAAUCUUGCGCACUGAGCGAAAGCCUGACACAGCCAUGCCGCGUGAAUGAUGAAGGUCUUAGGAUUGUAAAAUUCUUUCAGCGGGGACGAUAAUGACGGUACCCGCAGAAGAAGCUCCGGCUAACUUCGUG
rnacentral:rRNA from 1 species